GUGUUUUCAUUGACCAAAAAAAAGUGUUUACAUUCUCUGUUGCUCUUAUUCAACCUUUCUUCUCCCGUUUGUUCGUUCAGCAUAUUUUCUUAAAGAUCCCAUUUUGUUCACAGUCGCACCCUCUACAUCAGUUAGGAUGCUCCUGAAAAUGAUGAAUUUGAUUAAAAUUCUGGUAUGUUGGAGUUCCAUUAUGAGAAUUAAUGCAAUCAAUGCCUAUUGUCCAUUAGGUUUACAACCGUGAUACAGAAGCUGGAGAUCAUUCAUCUACACAAGAAUCAACAAAUGAAAACACAGUUGAUGAUAAGGAACUACAAGCAGCACAUGCUGAAUCAUCUAAGGCAGUGGUAAAUGGACCAGUAGCACCACAUGCUGAAGCAUCUAAGGCAAAAUCAGAUGCUAUUUUAGCUGAAAGGGAGAGGUUUAAGUCAAGGAGUGCAAAUGACACUUAUUCAAUUACUGACUGUGUGACUGUUCUUAACGAGAUUGAAGAUGUCACGGACGACAUCUAUAUGAAAGCUCUGGAAAAAUUUAUGGAUCCUGGUUGGAGGGAAGCAUUUCUUGCUAUGCCUAAUGAUAGGAGAAAGGCAUGGCUAGUUAGACUUUAAGAAAUUUGAUGUAAUGCUCUUAUCAUUGUCUUGAAACUUUUUAUCAUGUUAUUUUGCUUGAAUUCCUGCAAUUCAGUCAACUUGAAAGACAGAUAUUUUGAAUUGCACAUCAUUGAACAAAUGUAAUAUUUUGUACUUGGUUUUCCUUUGGUGUUUCAUGUUUGAAUUUUCCAGUAUCUAAGUAGUGUAUGCUUGUUUUAUGAAAUGAUUUGCUUCUGCAAUACUGAAACUAUUUCAUUUGUGAUCAAACACUUCAUGAAUCUGGCAACAACCAAAGUUUCAUCUAUAAUGAUUUGGAAAGCUCUUAACCUUUAUGUAAAAAGGUAACAUAGCUGAACAAUUUAAAGGAAAAAGCCAGAAUAAUAUAGAGUGAAGUUACAUGGGAAUAAUCCCAGU